GAUGAACGCUCGCGGGAGGCCUAACACAUGCAAGCCGAGCGGUAUUGUUUCUUCGGCAAUGAGAGAGCGGCGUACGGGUGCGUAACACGUGUGCAACCUGCCUUUAUCUGGGGGAUAGCCUUUCGAAAGGAAGAUUAAUACUCCAUAAUAUAUUGAACGGCAUCGUUUAAUAUUGAAAGCGCCGGCGGCUAGAGAUGGGCACGCGCAAGAUUAGCUAGUUGGUGAGGUAACGGCUCACCAAGGCGAUGAUCUUUAGGGGGCCUGAGAGGGUGAUCCCCCACACUGGUACCGAGACACGGACCAGACUCCUACGGGAGGAAGCAGUGAGGAAUAGUGGUCAAUGGGUGCAAGCCUGAACCAGCCAUCCCGCGUGAAGGACGACUGCCCUAUGGGUUGUAAACUUCCUUUGUAUAGGGAUAAACCUACCCUCGUGAGGGUAGCUGAAGGUAAUCGACGAAUAAGCACCGGCUAACUCCGUG
rnacentral:rRNA from 1 species